rnacentral:lncRNA from 1 species
AAAGGAAAAUUUCUCGGUAGAUGUAGGCUCCUAGAUCAAUUUGUCAUCCUCUACAUUUAAAUGCAAAGGUAAAUGUAGAAUAUGUUGCACUACAGAACGGAAUAAAUCUACAAAUAAUCUAGUAAAGGCCAACUUUGAGCUUCAAUAACAUUUGAAAGUUUAGGAAGAAUUGUAGCUGCAAUAAUCGAAGAUAAUGAAGAGCCAAUAAUUGGAUUAUCCAACAAUUUGUCGAACCAAAAGAAAACUGGCUUCCCAACCCUAAUAACCCAACGACUAUUAUUAUUCAGCAUAGGCAAAGCACGCUUCAACCCAUGCCACAUAGAAGAUCGUAAUAUAUAUCUUGUUUUUUAUAAGGUGCAAAAGGAAAACAUUGACGAGCGAAUGAAUCCACAGAGAAGAGGGUUGUAAAGCAUCCCAGCCAAAACUAAACAAAGUCAUCAAGUUCAAAGCAGUUAAAUGCCGAAGACCAAGGUCACCUUCAUGCUUAGGUCCACACACCAUACUCCAAUCAA